ensembl:lncRNA COX10-DT COX10 divergent transcript
GGCUCCGAAAGGAGAGCGUGGUGUCUGGAGGUGAUCGGAAGGGACUGGCUGGAGUGUGGCGGGCUGACAGGUCUGAGGCCUGAAGGACUUCCGGGAACCGCAAAGCACGGUGUGCCUCCGCUGUCCUGAAGAAAAAGCCGCGCGCGGACGACUGGCCGGCCCGCGCUUGCAGCUCCCAGAAGUUGACAGGCAUCCUCCGGUGACCGGUGUGAGUAUGGCAUCAGGAUGAUUUGACUGCAAGCAACAGAAAAAUCAAACAAAAAUGGCCUAAGCCAAGAAGAGAAAUGAUUAUUUCACAUUCCAAGAAGUUUGGGAGUCGAGUGGUUAAACGGCUAAUUAAUCUAGAGCUCAACAGUAUCACCCAGGACCCAUUUUCACUAUGGUGGCUAAAGCUCUGCACCCUUCAGGCUUGCACCAUGGCAGCAGCAGUGACAGUAAAGACACCCUUACACCACAAUGCUCCAUGACCAGGGAGAGGGUCUCCUCUCUCCUGCCCCUUUCUGGAGGCUCCACCGAAGAUUUCUCUUCACAUUCCGUUUCUCAUUCCUGAAGCAGUUGCUGGCAACAGGGAUGGACUUACCGCAAUGGGUACAGAGCAACUAAGAUUCACCACUAGGUGAGUCCUUUGGAAAACACUUGGCCAUCCAAUAUAUAAACAAAUCUGGUACUCCUGUCAGGAAAGAGAUCUGCAUUGUAAGAAAAAUGAGAAGAAUUCCUUCAGGAAGAAGAAAAAUGAUACCAGAUGGAUAUGUGGAUCCACAUAAAGGAACGAAGAGCACAGGAAAUAGUAACUAUACUGUCUUGCUCUGUCACCCAGGCUGGAGUGUGGUGGUGCGAUCUUGGCUCACUGCUAGACUGGUUGGAUCCAGGUUUCCUUCGUCAGUCCAGGCAGGACUGUGCGGUUGGAAAAGGGACGGAUGCUGGUCCUGGAAGGGGCGUCGUUAUCUAGAAGCUCCCAACCUAAGUGGGUGACUCAUAGGGAGGGCAAGGAGAGAAGGACACAGCAAGCAACUUACAUGUAAAACAAGACGUGUGGGUUAUUAUGGAAGAAAUUCACAACCAAACUUGGGGUUAGCCCGUAUUGUUUUCCAAGAACUCUAUGUGGACAGUGACAAAAAACAGACCUAAGAACUAGCAGACUGGGCAAAGCUUUUUCACAUAACAACAACAAAAAAAGCAAUUCCUCAGGAAAAAAUGGUCAAUGGGUCAUUGUGUGUAGACAAAACUACAAGUUCUGCUCCAGACUCUGGGGAAACCAUGCUGCCAUCUUCAAGCUGUGGCCAUUCUGUAAUACAGACUACGCUAAAUCACAUGUUGUCAUCAAGGCAGAAUAUUUUGUUCCUUUAUGGGUCAGCCUGGGAUACAAAAUUAGAGAAACUUUGCAAUGAAAAA